rnacentral:rRNA from 1 species
GACGAACGCUGGCGGCGUGCCUAACACAUGCAAGUCGAACGGGGUUAUUUCUUCGGAGAUAACUUAGUGGCGAACGGGUGAGUAACGCGCGAGAAACCUGCCUUUCAGUGGGGGACAACAGUUGGAAACGACUGCUAAUACCGCAUAAUGUUAUCGAGCGGCAUCGCUUGAUAACCAAAGCUUAAUGUGCUGAAAGAUGGUCUCGCGUCUGAUUAGCUAGUUGGUGAGGUAACGGCUCACCAAGGCGACGAUCAGUAGCCGGUCUGAGAGGAUGAACGGCCACAUUGGGACUGAGAUACGGCCCAGACUCCUACGGGAGGCAGCAGUGGGGAAUAUUGGGCAAUGGGGGAAACCCUGACCCAGCAACGCCGCGUGAAGGAAGAAGGCCUUCGGGUUGUAAACUUCUUUUACCAGGGACGAAUCAAUGACGGUACCUGGAGAAAAAGCAACGGCUAACUACGUGCCAGCAGCCGCCGUAACAC